AAUUGCUUGCUAUUUCCAUGUGGAUAAUAAUACUCUCUUGGCAGGGAACAAAUAGACAUUUGAGAAUGACUUAUUUUUUCAUUGCCAGGUAUAACGCUCCCCUAGUCUUCCAUCAUCAACUGUAUGCAGUCCUAUAAACACAAGAGUGGGUCAUUAAAAUGGGCAUCUCUCACUGUUGUUGGCUGUCAAUUCUUCCUGCUGAGGCUGUUCCAGGAAUACUUAAGACUGAAGAUUUCAUGAGAAUAAAUCAUCAACACACUAUUAGGGAAUGGCAUUUUAGCAACUGACAGGUCAAGGAAUUUCAUCUUCAGUAAGAUGGAGACUUGGAAUUUAUUUCCGCCCAGACAGGAAGGGGACACUCUGAAUUGCUGAAGAGUCCAAAGGGAGCAAAAUAAUAAGCUGGACAAAACUCCAGCUGGACAUAAUGUAAGCGGGCAUGUUAAUGAACUUAAGGGUAAAAUGGUUGCUAAUUAGAGUAUGCAUUCUCUUAUUAAAGUCAGAAGUUGGAGGACAGAAAACCUUGUACUUAUAUUUAUAAAAAAUCCUGAUAACAUCCUGGAGAAUUACAGACCAGUAAGGUUUACUUCAGCUCUUGGAAACUUAACCAAUAGGAUAAUU
rnacentral:lncRNA from 7 species